UUUCUCCGCCGGCGACCGACGGCACGGGUGAGUAACACGUAUGCAACCUGCCCCUGUCAGGGGGACAACCCGCCGAAAGGCGGGCUAAACCCGCGUACAUGCCACCGGGGCAUCCCGGAGGCAGGAAAAGGCUUCGGCCGGACAGGGAUGGGCAUGCGGCGCAUUAGGCAGUAGGCGGGGUAACGGCCCACCUAACCGACGAUGCGUAGGGGUUCUGAGAGGAAGGUCCCCCACACUGGUACUGAGACACGGACCAGACUCCUACGGAAGGCAGCAG
rnacentral:rRNA from 1 species